AAAGUCGUAACAAGGUUUCCGUAGGUGAACCUGCGGAAGGAUCAUUAUCGAUUCCAAAGGGAUGUUGCUGGCCUUUGGCCGUGCACUCCCGCUUUUAUAUCCACCUGUGCACUUUGACGUAGACAAGGAUUAGUUUCCGAGUCUAUGUUUUUCAUAUACCCUUUAUUAUUGUCAAUGAAUGUAUUAGGCUUCGGCCAAAAAAACAAUACAACUUUCAACAAUGGAUCUCUUGGUUCUC
rnacentral:misc_RNA from 1 species